rnacentral:sRNA from 1 species
ACAAAAAUUAUAGAUAUAAAUUUGAGAUUUCAGUAUCACUUGACUCGGCUUCUUGGACUUGUGUCUCUUCCAAAUUUAUUUCAGCCUCAGCAUCUUCCUCAUUCAUAAACUCAAGAUCCAUGCUGCAACAUCAAUAAAAAAAACCUUUGUAAGUUCCUGUUAUAUUGCAAGAUCACAAAAACCUCACGUAUUAAACCAUUUUCAGCUUUGCUCAAUCAAAUCAAAAGAUAAAACUUAGACACUUCUAAUGCCAAAGUGGAUAAUUUCAAAGCAUUCAACGUGUUCUAAACUGAUAUUUUCUUUUAUAUAUGGAAUGCUUUGAGAAUGGGUUAACCGGGCAGCCCAUUUUCAUUGGGUUUUUUAAUUUUCAUUGUUUUUUUGGUUUCAAUUAUGGACUUUACUGUCGUAUUUGCUCGGCAGCUCAUCAUCCAAACCCAAACCCAAAAAGUUUGUAAGUGCCAAUCCCCAUAGUCUAUUUGGUGGUGGUGUAGACCUUUUCUCCUUGGUGAUCAUUGCUGUGAUAUUCGUGGUGAUUGUGCAUGUCUUCCUUAGGUGAAUAAGAGCUUGAUAAAACCAAUUUUUUAGAAAGAAAAAGCUUAAUUAGGCAACAAAACAUUAUGAGAAAAAGAAAAUAAAUUAAAUUGAUAAGAAAAUAAACAAAACAUAAGCAAAAUUUAAGAAAAUAUAUAAAUUCAAAAAAAAGACCAAAAAUGUAGAUAUAAAUUUGAAAUUUCAAAAACUAGGUACAUUGGCUAAUAUAAUAUAGUCUCAUAUGAUAGAGACCAUGGUUUAUAAAUCAGCAGAUCAUAACCAGUAGGGUCAUAAUUCGGAACCUCAUAUCAUAGAAUUGAAGGUCGAGGCGACGGUGGUGACAGUGAGAAUUAUAUGUUGACAGAGGAUCAAAGUACAAAGACGACUGAUAAAAAACCGGACACGGAAGCUUUGAUGGCGGAGAAUCAGAGUACGAAGACGACUGAUCAUAAGCCAUAGAGUCUCUUAGAGCAUGAAACAGAGUGGAGGAAUAAUGAAAAGGGUAAUCAGUAUGGAGCACAGCAAGGCGUAGAAAAUUUGAACCCAAGUGUGGCGAUCAAAAAUGCGACGACUCAACGGCUUUGUUCUUUCGUUUAUACUCUGUUUUUUAUAUUUUUAAUAUAAAAAAAGAGCUGUGAGAAGAAGAAUGAGAGUAAUAAUAAUAUUCAUGUUGCAAAAGUAAAAAAAAAGACUUGCGUAACAAAUAUUAUAUGGAGCUCAUUUAAUUUAUCAUUUAUCACUUAUUGUAAUAUUUUUGUAUUUUUUGUGUUAUAUAUUUGCUCUUUCAUUCAGUUGUAAAAACAUUCAUCUUCAUACAAAGAAAACCAACGUAAAGCUUUUUUCUAUUAUUACUCUUUUUUCAUGAUUGCUUUCCUUCUCAUAUUUCUUUCUCUUAUAGUAUAUUU